GCGAAAACUUUACAAUGCUGGCAACAGCGAUAAGGGAACCUCGAGUGCCAGGUUACAAAUCUGGCUGUCGAGAUGCCUAAAAAGCAUUUCAUAGCAAGGGCCGGGCAAGACCGGUGCCAGCCGCCGCGGUAACACCGGCGGCUCGAGUGGUAACCGUUAUUAUUGGGUCUAAAGGGUCUGUAGCCGGCCGGAUAAGUCUCUUGAGGAAUCUGGCAGCUUAACUGUCAGGCUUUCAGGAGAUACUGUCUGGCUCGAGGCCGGGAGAGGUGAGAGGUACUUCAGGGGUAGGGGUGAAAUCUUGUAAUCCUUGAAGGAGCACCAGUGGCGAAGGCGUCUCACCAGAACGGACCUGACGGCAAGGGACGAAAGCUAGGGGCACGAACC
rnacentral:rRNA from 1 species